GCGGCGUGCUUCAUACAUGCAAGUCGAACGAGAAGCAGGAGCUUGCUCCUGUGGAAAGUGGCGGACGGGUGAGUAACACGUAGGAAAUCUGCCUUUGGGUGGGGGACAACAGUUGGAAACGACUGCUAAUACCCCAUAUGAGCUUGGUUGCAAUACCAAUCUUGAAAACUCCGGUGCCUAAAGAUGAGCCUGCGUCUGAUUAGCUUGUUGGCGGGGUAAUGGCCCACCAAGGCGACGAUCAGUAGCUGGUUUGAGAGGAUGAGCAGCCACAAUGGGACUGAGACACGGCCCAGACUCCUACGGGAGGCGGCAGUAGGGAAUUUUGCGCAAUGGGGGAAACCCUGACGCAGCAACGCCGCGUGAAUGACGAAGCCCUUCGGGGUGUAAAGUUCUGUCAGUAGGGAAGAAUUUUGACUGUACCUACAAAGGAAGCACCGGCUAACUCCGUGCCAGCCGCCGCCGUAA
rnacentral:rRNA from 1 species